UACGUAGGGUGCGAGCGUUGUCCGGAAUCAUUGGGCGUAAAGAGCGCGUAGGCGGUCCGGUAAGUCCGCUCUGAAAGUCCGGGGCUCAACCCCGGGAGGCGGGCGGAUACUGUCGGGCUAGAGUCCGGAAGAGGCGAGUGGAAUUCCUGGUGUAGCGGUGAAAUGCGCAGAUAUCAGGAGGAACACCGAUGGCGAAGGCAGCUCGCUGGGACGGUACUGACGCUGAGGCGCGAAAGCGUGGGGAGCAAACAGG
rnacentral:rRNA from 1 species